GCUUGUCUCAAAGAUUAAGCCAUGCAUGUCUAAGUAUAAACAACUUUGUACUGUGAAACUGCGAACGGCUCAUUAUAUCAGCAAUUAUUUAUUUGAUGGUUUCUUACUACAUGGAUAACCGUAGUAAUUCUAGAGCUAAUACAUGCGUAAAAUCCCGACUCUCGCGGGGAGGGAUGUAUUUAUUAGAUUAAAAGCCAAUGCGGGCUCUGUCCGGUUUUGUGGUGAAUCAUAGUAACUUUUCGAAUGGCAUGACUUCACGUCGGCCAUAUUUCAUUCAAAUUUCUGCCCUAUCAGCUUUCGACGGUAGUGUAGUGGACUACCGUGGCGUUAACGGGUAACGGAGAAUUAGGGUUCGAUUCCGGAGAGGGAGCCUGAGAAACGGCUACCACAUCCAAGGAAG
rnacentral:rRNA from 1 species